rnacentral:rRNA from 1 species
UACGAAGGGGGCUAGCGUUGCUCGGAAUCACUGGGCGUAAAGCGCACGUAGGCGGCUUUGUAAGUUAGAGGUGAAAGCCCGGGGCUCAACCCCGGAAUUGCCUUUAAGACUGCAUCGCUAGAAUUGUGGAGAGGUAAGUGGAAUUCCGAGUGUAGAGGUGAAAUUCGUAGAUAUUCGGAAGAACACCAGUGGCGAAGGCGACUUACUGGACACAUAUUGACGCUGAGGUGCGAAAGCGUGGGGAGCAAACAGG